CGUAGGUGGCAAGCGUUGUCCGGAUUUAUUGGGUUUAAAGGGUGCGUAGGCGGUCUUGUAAGUCAGUGGUGAAAUACGGCAGCUUAACUGUCGAGGUGCCAUUGAUACUGCAGGACUUGAGUACAGACGAGGUAGGCGGAAUUGACGGUGUAGCGGUGAAAUGCUUAGAUAUCGUCAAGAACACCGAUAGCGAAGGCAGCUUACUAGACUGUAACUGACGCUGAUGCACGAAAGUGUGGGGAUCAAACAGGAUUAGAUACCCUGGUAGUCCACACUGUAAACGAUGAUUACUCGAUGUUGGCGAUACACAGCCAGCGUCUUAGCGAAGGCGAUAAGUAAUCCACCUGGGGAGUACGCCGGCAACGGUG
rnacentral:rRNA from 1 species